rnacentral:rRNA from 1 species
AUUGAACGCUGGCGGCAUGCUUUACACAUGCAAGUCGAACGGCAGCGCGGGCUUCGGCCUGGCGGCGAGUGGCGAACGGGUGAGUAAUGCAUCGGAACGUGCCCAGUAGUGGGGGAUAGCCCGGCGAAAGCCGGAUUAAUACCGCAUACGACCUGAGGGUGAAAGCGGGGGACCGAAAGGCCUCGCGCUAUUGGAGCGGCCGAUGUCGGAUUAGCUAGUUGGUGGGGUAAAGGCUUACCAAGGCGACGAUCCGUAGCUGGUCUGAGAGGACGACCAGCCACCCUGGGACUGAGGAACGGCCCAGACUCCUACGGGAGGCCGCCGUGGGGAAUUUUGGACAAUGGGGGCAACCCUGAUCCAGCCCUGCCGGGGGAGGGAAGAAGGCCUUCGGGUUGUAAACCGCUUUUGUUCGGGGAGAAAUCCUCUUGGCUAAUACCCCGGGGGGAUGACGGUACCGGAAGAAUAAGCACCGGCUAACUACGUG